CUCGCGAUGCUCUAGAUUNUAGUUGAUCAUGGCUCAGAUUGAACGCUGGUCGGCAGGGGGCCCCCCCCUUUUAAAACCAAACCAAAUUUGGCCCAAAAAGGGUUCCCGGGAAAAGGGGCCCCCCCCGGGGGGGGGGAAUGACGGGAGCUUGCUCCUUGAUUCAGCGGCGGACGGGUGAGUAUGCUAGAUCUGCUGGUAGUGGGGGACAACGUUUCGAAAGGAACGCUAAUACCGCAUUACCGUCC
rnacentral:rRNA from 1 species